UACUGAAAGUAUCAAAAGUAAAAAUACUCCAAAUAUAUUAUUGGAUUAACCCUCUGAACCUCAAAGUAUGUUUUUCUUAAGAAAUCAGCAGAAAUAGACAAUUUAUUGUAGAAAGAAACUGUAAAAACAGACAUUAUCAUAAGAGUUUGAACUUUCCAACGGACUUUGAAUGGAUCAUCAGUUACAUCGGUCACAUUUACACAGAGCAGAGAGGAGAGGACAGGAGACAAUACUUCAACAUGUACAAAGUGUGGAGAAAACUUUUAUAACACUCAGGACACUUGUUGGGACUUGGAAAAUGACACAAACUGUGUCUCAUUGGUGAGACUGUGGCCGUGUCCCAAUGUCAAGGAUCCUUCCUUGGUAGGAUCCUUCCUUCAGAGUCGGGUCCUCCGGAGGCAAGGCCAGAGUCCUUCCUUUCUCUGGUGUAACCACUAAUGGGACAGCCUUCGGAGUGUGCAGCUGUGCGUCAUUGCGUAAUUGGACGUCCUGCUUAACUUCAGCGCCGCUCUCGGCCCUUUGGCUAAGAUCAAGUGUAGUAUCUGUUCUUAUCAGUUUAAUCAGUUUAAUAAAAAAUAAAAAUAAAUAAAUAAAUUCAGCGCCGCAAUUUCAAAAUCAGUUCACGACAUGAAUGUGUCUCUGGCAUCAGCACUCUGACACAUAUUAUAUAAUUAUUAUUAUAUUUGUGAAAAUGGAAGAAGAUGCUUUAAGGUUGAAUCUCCACGAUUUAUCAAGUAAAAACCAUAAAGUGGAUUAAACCUGAAUAUUUAACUGAUCCUGGCUGAAUUCGGCCGCUACUUAGUGCCAUGAAUGCAGCGGCGCAUAAUUCAUCAUGGAAAUAUGUUCUGUGAUUUUUUAUUUUACAGUACAGUACAAUAACAGUUAUUUAUAAAUAACAGUAACGGAUAAUAGCGGACUUUCGGUCCCUGUAAACACAAUAAAGAAAUGUAUAACUUUCUGAAUGGCACAGUUGCACAUAGUACAUCAUCAUCGGACACAUAUAAAUUAAUAAACAAUAACUUUAGCGACUGAGACGGCAUUAAUUAACUUAACCGGCAAUGUAUCAAGAUGACGUUUAUUAUCUUUAAGCUUAAUAUUCUGGCAUAUGCUUAUUCAUAUGUUUUUGCUUGACCUUGAACACACGUUUUGUAAGUUAUGUGACAACAUUCAGUGUAAACUGAAAAUAUCUACAUAUUUAAAUGCAUAUUGCGCUGCCGGCGUCGCUGUUUCAACGCUCGGCAUUUUUAAAUCUCCCGGUAGACCGGUGUGCGCAAUGCUUUAUGGGUAGUCGGAGCGCACGGAGGAUACACACAUGCAUCCUUGGAGUUUGGGCAGAAGAAGGACUCUGUCCUCCGGAGCAUCCUGGACAUUGGGACAGUCCUUCGGCGGAUGUCGAUGACGUAGUGUCCUUCAAAUCCAGCCGUUUGAGCAUCCUUCCUUGACAUUGGGAGCCUGUUUGUCCUUUACAUCUUUCUUUAUCUCCUUAGAUGGUUAGUCAGCACCAUCUAGUGGACAGAUAGUAGAACUACAUCCUGUUUACUCUCUGAAACACGUCACUGUGAAGUGUUGAGGGUGGGACUUCCUCAGCUCAGACGCUCACACACACAAGAAAGAAGAAGAAACGAGCAGCUUCUUCUCUCCCAGAGUUUCUUCGACACAUGAAGGUGGAAAGUGCCUGUAAGUGGACCUGAAGUGAGUUCAGCAGACUUGGACUGUGAAGUUGUGAGGGUGUGACGGCGUCCUCAGCUCAGACGCUCACAGACACCAGGACUGACGAAGACGAAGACGAGCAGCUUCUUCUCUCCCAGAGUUUCCUCCACACAUGAAGGUGGAAAGUGUCUGUAAGUCGACCUGAAGUGAGUUCAGCAGGUAGAAUCGACAGUUUGAUUGUAAUCUGAGUUCACGUCAUCGGUGAAAAACGUCUGGAGUGUCUGAACUGGUCUGACAGCUUGGAUCCACUCGGCUCAGGUGUGUUUAUAUUACUUAAAUGUUAAUACUCUGAAGUUAUGUGGAUAAAUGAAGUGUUAAGUGGUCAAAUCCAGACAUCUUCCAACACUGAAACCUGGUUUAACUGAAGACCAUUUAGCACAGUCCAGGUCUCAACUGUCCAGAGGCUUAAAAAAAUUAAACUUAAAUUUUUUUUUUAAAAUACAAUAUGUAUGUAGCAUGUGCUUGUUACCUGUUUUAAUAUUUGUUUUUUGUUUUUCCCUGAGAUAAUAU